rnacentral:rRNA from 1 species
GACGAACCGUGCGAACGUUGUUCGGAAUCACUGGGCUUAAAGGGCGCGUAGGCGGGCCCACAAGUCCGGGGUGAAAUCUUUCGGCUUAACCGGAAAAGUGCCUUGGAUACUGGGGGCCUUGAGGGAGGCAGGGGCGGAUGGAACUUCCGGUGGAGCGGUGAAAUGCGUUGAUAUCGGAAGGAACGCCGGUGGCGAAAGCGAUCCGCUGGACCUCUACUGACGCUGAGGCGCGAAAGCCAGGGGAGCAAACGGG